rnacentral:rRNA from 1 species
AGCUCUCCGAGUGGUAGGGACGAUUAUUGGGCUUAAAGCGUCCGUAGCCGGCCUCUCAAGUCUUUCGUUAAAUCCAGCGAUUCAAUCGUUGGACUGCGGGAGAUACUGUUAGGCUAGGGGGCGGGAGAAGCCGACGGUAUUCUUGGGGUAGGGGUAAAAUCCUAUAAUCCCAGGAAGACCACCAGUGGCGUAGGCGGUCGGCUAGCACGCGCUCGACGGUGAGGGACGAAAGCUGGGGGAGCGAACCG